rnacentral:tRNA from 1 species
AAUGGAGUGCCUGAAAUCUUAAAGGAAUACCUUGAUAGGGUAUAUAAUGUAUGACUAUACCUUCAUUA